AGAGCAGCGGAUGGAAGUUGGAAGGACUUUAAGGAAAGUGUUAAUGAAAACCUGAAGAGCCUUGAAGAAAUUGUUGAGAAGUAUGGCCUUUGAAGAGGCUGCAGGUGUAGUCUUAAGGAAAAAUUGCCAGUCUCCUGUAUGUCUUCCACUUCCCUACUUUUUGAAGAGGACGGUAUCUAGCAAUUAUCCUAUAUCUGCUGUGCUACGGUAUGUUACACAUAUGGGGAGCAAAUAACUACAGUUCACAGGUCUUAAGAGAAACUACUUGAGUUGCUGUACCUAAGGAACUCAUCCCAAGGAGCCCUCAUUCACACUUGCACCUGACCUGAUUUAGAUGAUAAGAUACUGGGCUUUGAGCUGAUGCUAUAUUAAGGUGAAACUUCUGGAGGAUUUGAAAGGAGGCCCCAUGUAACCCAUGGAAUUUGGCAAAUGUGAUGGUAUGUGACUUGAGGCUAGUUUAUAAAAGAGUGACUUCUGCCUGGCACUCUCUGUCUCAUCACUUACUCUGCGGGAAGCCAACUACCAUAAGAUACUCAAGCAGCCCUACAGAGAGGUCCAUGUGGUGACAAACUGAGUCCCCUUGCCACCCACCAGCCAGAGAACUGACUCUUGCCAGCAGUCAUGCAAGUAAGCCAUGUGGAAGCAUUUCCUCCAGCCCUGGAGAAUUCUUCAGAUGAUCAUAACACCUUGUCUGCAACCUCAUUAGAGACCGCGCCAGACCCACGUGACUAUAUUGCUCCU
rnacentral:lncRNA from 10 species